UACGUAGGGAGCGAGCGUUGUCCGGAUUCAUUGGGCGUAAAGAGCUCGUAGGCGGCUUGAUAAGUCGGAUGUGAAACCUCCAGGCUCAACCUGGAGUCGCCAUCCGAUACUGUCAUGGCUAGAGUCCGGUAGGGGCCCACGGAAUUCCUGGUGUAGCGGUGAAAUGCGCAGAUAUCAGGAGGAACACCGGUGGCGAAGGCGGUGGGCUGGGCCGGCACUGACGCUGGAGGAGCGAAAGCCGUGGGGAGCGAACAGG
rnacentral:rRNA from 1 species